rnacentral:rRNA from 1 species
UACGUAGGGGGCAAGCGUUGUCCGGAAUCAUUGGGCGUAAAGAGCGUGUAGGCGGCCCGGUAAGUCCGCUGUGAAAGUCGGGGGCUCAACCCUCGAAUGCCGGUGGAUACUGGCGGGCUAGAGUGCGGAAGAGGCGAGUGGAAUUCCUGGUGUAGCGGUGAAAUGCGCAGAUAUCAGGAGGAACACCGAUUGCGAAGGCAGCUCGCUGGGACGUAACUGACGCUGAGACGCGAAAGCGUGGGGAGCAAACAGG